rnacentral:rRNA from 1 species
CACGGGGGGAGCAAGCGUUGUUCGGAAUCACUGGGCGUAAAGGGCGUGUAGGUGGAUGCCUAAGUACCUUGUGAAAUCCCACAGCUUAACUGUGGAACUGCUUGGUAUACUGGGUGUCUUGAGUCACUCAGGGGCGAGCGGAACAAAUGGUGGAGCGGUGAAAUGCGUAGAUAUCAUUUGGAACGCCAAUGGUGAAAACAGCUUGCUGGGGGUUUGCUGACGCUGAGACACGAAAGCCAGGGGAGCAAACGGG